GCUUGGAACACAUUCAGAUGUUUAAAGAGACAUUCAGAUGUUUGAGUGGGCUUGCACAGCCCUAUUCUGUGUGACAGAGGUGCUGUGCUGUAUGCAGUGCCCUGAACGCUCUUGAGCCGGUGCAAUCUCCAGUCAAGGGAUUGAGCAGUACUGGGCAAGUCUUGGGCACUGCACAUGAAAGGGGCAUUGUGUGUGAACUGUGGCUGUGAGGGUACAAGGGACAAGUGAUGGGAAGCAAGUCAAGAGAGAAAGUGGAGAUGUGGAAGGGCAGGGAAAAUGGUGAGCCUAGUGGAAAGUUUCCCUACAGAAGCUAUGGAAAAGAGGUGAGCAAACAGCCAGCCAGCAGAGAGAAGAGCUAUCUGACACUGCUGCUAUCUGUAAGGCUGAAAGCUGCACCUCUUGCAAAGAGACACAUAGUGCUUGCAUCAACCCAACAGUCCUGACACUCUUCUCCCCCUGCCUCUAUACAGGAGGCUCAAGAAUUGUUGUCCGAUUGCUGGAGCUCAGUGAAUGUAGAGAGGAAAAUGGAACACUUAGACUGUAAUGUGGAAGCACUGGCCAGGCACAAGUUUGAAAUAGCACUUUGCUGAUUGAAACACAUUUUCAAAUAAACCAAAUUGAGUGA